AAAAUACAAGGGCAUUUUGGUACACUAAACCCAAUAUAAGAGCUUUUGCAAACCCAUAAAACAAUAGAGGCCAAGGCUACAAUUUCUUCCAAAAAAUUCCCAUGCUUCAUUCUUUUAUAAACCACCACCUUCAUUCUCUUUAUUUGUAUUACAAAAUCAUAUCAUACCCAAAAUAUUAACAUCAUUAUUUUUCAAUUUGAUUAAAUAAAGAUCUAAAAAACCCUAGCUUUUUUUUUUUCUUUAUUUGAGAAGUAAUGGAGGGAGAAGAAAUAGAAUAUAGUUAAUAGACCCGUUUCCCCAAUCAUAUGGAGCAGCACAACCAAACACAGAACCAGAGCCACCACCUAACCCAUACCCACAGCCCAACAUGGGGUACCUGGGAGGAGCUCCUCUUAGCAUGCGCCGUCAAACGCCACGGUUUCAAGAACUGGGAUUCUGUCGCCAUGGAAGUCCAAACCAAAAGCUCCCUCCCCCACCUUCUCACCACCGCCGAGAACUGCCAGCAAAAAUACCAUGACCUCCACCGACGCUUCACCACCACCGCCACCACAUGUAACGAACAUGAUAUACAAGAAAAUAAUAACAAUAAUAAUAAUA
rnacentral:misc_RNA from 1 species